rnacentral:rRNA from 1 species
UACGAAGGGGGCUAGCGUUGUUCGGAAUUACUGGGCGUAAAGGGCGCGCAGGCGGUCCUUCAAGUCAGGCGUGAAAGCCCCGGGCUCAACCUGGGAAUCGCGCUUGAGACUGAGGGACUUGAGUUCGGGAGAGGAGAGCGGAAUUCCCAGUGUAGAGGUGAAAUGCGUAGAUAUCGUCAAGAACACCGAUAGCGAAGGCAGCUUACCAAGCAGUAACUGACGCUGAGGCACGAAAGUGCGGGGAUCAAACAGG